rnacentral:rRNA from 1 species
GUGCGUAGUGACCUGCGGAGGACAUUACAGAGUUCAUGCCCUUCGGGGUAGAUCUCCCACCCUUGUGUAUCAUUAUAGAAUGUUGCUUUGGCGGGCCGCGCCUCGUGCGUCUAGAUUUGCGUCUAGCGUGCCCGCCAGAGGACCCUUUAAACUCUGAAUGUUAGUGUCGUCUGAGUACUAUUAAAUAGUUAAAACUUUCAACAACGGAUCUCUUGGUUCUGGCAUCGAUGAAGAACGCAGCGAAAUGCGAUAAGUAAUGUGAAUUGCAGAAUUCAGUGAAUCAUCGAAUCUUUGAACGCACAUUGCGCCCCCUGGUAUUCCGGGGGGCAUGCCUGUUCGAGCGUCAUUUAUACCAAUCUAGCCUGGCCUAGGUGUUGGGCUCCGCCGUCUGGCGGGCCUUAAAACUAGUGGCGGUGCUCUUAGGCUCUACGCGUAGUAAUUUUCUCGCUAUAGGGUCCUGGGAGAUGCUGGCCAGCAACCCCAAAUUUUUCUAGGUUGACCUCGGAUCAGGUAGGGAUACCCGCUGAACUUAAGCAUAUCAAAA